UAGGGAAUCUUCGGCAAUGGACGAAAGUCUGACCGAGCAACGCCGCGUGAGUGAAGAAGGUUUUCGGAUCGUAAAACUCUGUUGUGAGAGAAGAACAAGGACGUUAGUAACUGAACGUCCCCUGACGGUAUCUAACCAGAAAGCCACGGCUAACUACGUGCCAGCAGCCGCGGUAAUACGUAGGUGGCAAGCGUUGUCCGGCUUUAUUGGGCGUAAAGCGAGCGCAGGCGGUUUCUUAAGUCUGAUGUGAAAGCCCCCGGCUCAACCGGGGAGGGUCAUUGGAAACUGGGAGACUUAAGUGCAGAAGAGGAGAGUGGAAUUCCAAGUGUAGCGGUGAAAUGCGUAGAUAUAUGGAGGAACACCAGUGGCGAAGGCGGCUCUCUGGUCUGUAACUGACGCUGAGGCUCGAAAGCGUGGGGAGCAAACAGG
rnacentral:rRNA from 1 species